GUUAAGCGACUAAGCGUACACGGUGGAUGCCCUGGCAGUCAGAGGCGAUGAAGGACGUGCUAAUCUGCGAUAAGCGUCGGUGAGGUGAUAUGAACCGUUAUAACCGGCGAUUUCCGAAUGGGGAAACCCAGUGUGUUUCGACACACUAUCAUUAACUGAAUCCAUAGGUUAAUGAGGCGAACCGGGGGAACUGAAACAUCUAAGUACCCCGAGGAAAAGAAAUCAACCGAGAUUCCCCCAGUAGCGGCGAGCGAACGGGGAGGAGCCCAGAGCCUGAAUCAGUGUGUGUGUUAGUGGAAGCGUCUGGAAAGGCGUGCGAUACAGGGUGACAGCCCCGUACACAAAAAUGCACAUAUUGUGAGCUCGAUGAGUAGGGCGGGACACGUGGUAUCCUGUCUGAAUAUGGGGGGACCAUCCUCCAAGGCUAAAUACUCCUGACUGACCGAUAGUGAACCAGUACCGUGAGGGAAAGGCGAAAAGAACCCCGGCGAGGGGAGUGAAAAAGAACCUGAAACCGUGUACGUACAAGCAGUGGGAGCCUCUUAAUGGGGUGACUGCGUACCUUUUGUAUAAUGGGUCAGCGACUUAUAUUCUGUAGCAAGGUUAACCGAAUAGGGGAGCCGAAGGGAAACCGAGUCUUAACUGGGCGUUAAGUUGCAGGGUAUAGACCCGAAACCCGGUGAUCUAGCCAUGGGCAGGUUGAAGGUUGGGUAACACUAACUGGAGGACCGAACCGACUAAUGUUGAAAAAUUAGCGGAUGACUUGUGGCUGGGGGUGAAAGGCCAAUCAAACCGGGAGAUAGCUGGUUCUCCCCGAAAGCUAUUUAGGUAGCGCCUCGUGAAUUCAUCUCCGGGGGUAGAGCACUGUUUCGGCAAGGGGGUCAUCCCGACUUACCAACCCGAUGCAAACUGCGAAUACCGGAGAAUGUUAUCACGGGAGACACACGGCGGGUGCUAACGUCCGUCGUGAAG
rnacentral:rRNA from 1 species